rnacentral:lncRNA from 1 species
UACCUUAAGUUUUGGGAUUUAUUGUGAGGGGACAUGGGGCAGAAACUGAACUGAAACUGCUCUCGUAAGUUCUCAGGACCCACCACAAUACCUGGGCCAGGCUCCUUUGUUCCUGCUCUAUGCCUUCAUGUCUUGCUUGGCUAGCAUCUCUGGCCCUGUGUGUGUCUUCCAACCACUGGCCAGUCUUUCCUGAAUUCUCUCGUCCAGGGCCUGGAGGAGACCAGUCGGAUUGACUUUUCCAGUAAGCAUUGCUUGCUGGGGAGAGCCAUUCAUAUU